rnacentral:rRNA from 1 species
CCUACGGGGAGCAGCAGUCGAGAAUUAUUCACAAUGGGGGAAACCCUGAUGGUGCGACGCCGCGUGGGGGAAUGAAGGUCUUCGGAUUGUAAACCCCUGUCAUGUGGGAGCAAAUUAAAAAGAUAGUACCACACGAGGAAGAGACGGCUAACUCUGUGCCAGCAGCCGCGGUAAUACAGAGGUCUCAAGCGUUGUUCGGAAUCAUUGGGCGUAAGGCGUGCGUAGGCUGUUUCGUAAGUCGUGUGUGAAAGGCGCGGGCUCAACGCGCGGACGGCACAUGAUACUGCGAGACUGGAGUGAUGGAGCGGGAACCGGAAUGUGCGGUGUAGCAGUGAAAUGCGUAGAUAUC